rnacentral:rRNA from 2 species
AUAUGAGGCCUCGUAAUCGGAAUGAGUACACUUUAAAUACUUUAACGAGGAACAAUUGGAGGGCAAGUCUGGUGCCAGCAGCCGCGGUAAUUCCAGCUCCAAUAGCGUAUACUAAAAUUGUUGCGGUUAAAAAGCUCGUAGUUGCACCUGUGCGCCGCGCUGUCGGUGCACCGCAUCCGCGGUGACCACUGGCACGUCGCGGGGCAUCACGUCGGUGAGACUCCGGUAAAACGGAGGCUCAAUUGAAACAAUCCUAUCGCGGUGCUCUUCACCGAGUGUCGAGGUGGGCCGACAAUACUUACUUUGAACAAAUUAGAGUGCUCAAAGCGGGCUAAAAACGCCGCUCGAAUAUUUUUUGCAUGGAAUAAUGGAAUACGACCUCGGUUCUAUUUUGUUGGUUCUCGGAAUCCGAGGUAAUGAUUAAUAGGAACAACUGGGGGCAUUCGUAUUGCGACGUUAGAGGUGAAAUUCUUGGAUCGUCGCAAGACGGACUACAGCGAAAGCAUUUGCCAAAGGUGUUUUCAUCAAUCAAGAACGAAAGUUAGAGGUUCGAAGGCGAUUAGAUACCGCCCUAGUUCUAACCAUAAACGUUGCCACCUGGCGAUCCGCCGACGUUACUAUAAUGGCUCGGCGGGCGGCCUCCGGGAAACCAAAGUUUUUGGGCUCCGGGGGGAGUAUGGUUGCAAAGCUGAAACUUAAAGGAA